GCUACUACUACUUCUAAUGAUAACUAAUUGUAAUGUAAUAGAUCAGUGACGUUAGGUAGAAGCUCUGGCCUGCAUUUACACCCUAAAUUCCAGUAUCUGUUCCGUGAACUUGUAUUGUAUUGAGUCGAAACUUCCGUAUUCGGCAAAACAGGUCAAUGCACUUCCUUCCGAUGCUGAUGACUGGCGGAGCCCUAUGAACACAUGAAAACCUGGCAGUACAAAAUCUACAUUAGUAACCAUCAUAAGAGCUGCCGUGCAAGAUCACUGAUGGUGAAGUGGUCCAUUCGCCCACCUUCGGUGCAGGUCCUGGAGCUCACGCAUGGCUCUAAUGCACAGUGCUGAGAAUGAUGGUGAUUAUGGAACUUCGGAACAUCCCCAAAGCGUACCUUGCAGCGGGGCGCUCUCCAUCGCCCUCUCCAAGGACUCCAAAAGGGGUGGGUACUCUGAACUGCUGUUUGGUGCAUAGGCACAAACAACAGUCAGGACCCAUCCCCCCACCCAAAGGCAGAGAGAGACUACCCUCUCGUCCACCGGGGUGAACCCCAAUGUACAGGUGCAGAGCCGGGAGGCAAGCCACCUGCUGCGCCAGUCUAUCCAGAGUAGAUGCAACAUGCGCCUUUUGACGGUCAAUUUUAUCUUCGAUCUUCAGGAGAGUACAGGCCACGGCAAGAAAUCAAUGAAAUUCUACUUCUUUACCACCUAAUUCUGAUG